rnacentral:rRNA from 1 species
CGCUGGCGGCAGGCCUAACACAUGCAAGUCGAGCGGUAGCACAGAGAGCUUGCUCUCGGGUGACGAGCGGCGGACGGGUGAGUAAUGUCUGGGAAACUGCCUGAUGGAGGGGGAUAACUACUGGAAACGGUAGCUAAUACCGCAUAACGUCGCAAGACCAAAGUGGGGGACCUUCGGGCCUCAUGCCAUCACAUGUGCCCAGAUGGGAUUAGCUAGUAGGUGGGGUAACGGCUCACCUAGGCGACGAUCCCUAGCUGGUCUGAGAGGAUGACCAGCCACACUGGAACUGAGACACGGUCCAGACUCCUACGGCAGGCAGCAGUGGGGAAUAUUGCACAAUGGGCGCAAGCCUGAUGCAGCCAUGCCGCGUGUGUGAAGAAGGCCUUCGGGUUGUAAAGCACUUUCAGCGGGGAGGAAGGCGUUAAGGUUAAUAACCUUGGCGAUUGACGUUACCCGCAGAAGAAGCACCGGCUAACUCCGUGCCAGCAUCCGCGGUAAUACGGAGGGUGCAAGCGUUAAUCGGAAUUACUGGGCGUAAAGAGCACGCACGCGGUCUGUCAAGUCGGAUGUGAAAUCCCCGGGCUCUACCUGGGAACUGCAUUCCAAACUGGCAGGCUAGAGUCUUGUAGAGGGGGGUAGAAUUCCAGGUGUAGCGGUGAAAUGCGUAGAGAUCUGGAGGAAUACCGGUGGCGAAGGCGGCCCCCUGGACAAAGACUGACGCUCAGGUGCGAAAGCGUGGGGAGCAAACAGGAUUAGAUACCCUGGUAGUCCACGCCGUAAACGAUGUCGAUUUGGAGGUUGUGCCCUUGAGGCGUGGCUUCCGGAGCUAACGCGUUAAAUCGACCGCCUGGGGAGUACGGCCGCAAGGUUAAAACUCAAAUGAAUUGACGGGGGCCCGCACAAGCGGUGGAGCAUGUGGUUUAAUUCGAUGCAACGCGAAGAACCUUACCUGGUCUUGACAUCCACAGAACUUUCCAGAGAUGGAUUGGUGCCUUCGGGAACUGUGAGACAGGUGCUGCAUGGCUGUCGUCAGCUCGUGUUGUGAAAUGUUGGGUUAAGUCCCGCAACGAGCGCAACCCUUAUCCUUUGUUGCCAGCGGUUAGGCCGGGAACUCAAAGGAGACUGCCAGUGAUAAACUGGAGGAAGGUGGGGAUGACGUCAAGUCAUCAUGGCCCUUACGACCAGGGCUACACACGUGCUACAAUGGCAUAUACAAAGAGAAGCGACCUCGCGAGAGCAAGCGGACCUCAUAAAGUAUGUCGUAGUCCGGAUUGGAGUCUGCAACUCGACUCCAUGAAGUCGGAAUCGCUAGUAAUCGUAGAUCAGAAUGCUACGGUGAAUACGUUCCCGGGCCUUGUACACACCGCCCGUCACACCAUGGGAGUGGGUUGCAAAAGAAGUAGGUAGCUUAACCUUCGGGAGGGCGCUUACCACUUUGUGAUUCAUGAC